rnacentral:rRNA from 1 species
CCAAUAGCGUAUAUUAAAGUUGUUGCAGUUAAAAAGCUCGUAGUUGAAUUUCGGGAUUGACGUAAUGGUCGUGCCUUAAGGGGUAUGAACUGUUGCUGUUGAUUUCUCACCUUCUGGAGAAACUUGAUGUCCUUAAUUGGGUGUCUUGCGGAUCCAGGACCUUUACCUUGAAAAAAUUAGAGUGUUUAAAGCAGGCGUUUUUGCUCGAAUACAUUAGCAUGGAAUAAUAGAAUAGGACGGAAUGGUUCUAUUUUGUUGGUUUCUAGGAUCACCGUAAUGAUUAAUAGGGAUAGUUGGGGGCAUUAGUAUUCAAUUGUCAGAGGUGAAAUUCUUGGAUUUAUUGAAGACUAACUACUGCGAAAGCAUUUGCCAAGGAUGUUUUCAUUAAUCAAGAACGAAAGUUAGGGGAUCGAAGACGAUCAGAUACCGUCGUAGUCUUAACCAUAAACUAUGCCGACUAGGAAUCAGACGAUGUUAAUUUUUUAAUGACUCGUUUGGCACCUUACG